rnacentral:rRNA from 1 species
AACGAACGCUGGCGGCAUGCCUAACACAUGCCAGUCGAACGAGACCUUCGGGUCUAGUGGCGCACGGGUGCGUAACGCGUGGGAACCUGCCUUUAGGUUCGGAAUAACUCAGAGAAAUUUGAGCUAAUACCGGAUGAUGUCUUCGGACCAAAGAUUUAUCGCCUUUAGAUGGGCCCGCGUUGGUUUAGCUAGUUGGUGGGGUAAAGGCCUACCAAGGCGACGAUCCAUAGCUGGUCUGAGAGGAUGAUCAGCCACACUGGGACUGAGACACGGCCCAGACUCCUACGGGAGGGAGCAGUGGGGAAUAUUGGACAAUGGGCGAAAGCCUGAUCCAGCAAUGCCGGGUGAGUGAUGAAGGCCUUAGGGUUGUAAAGCUCUUUUACCCGAGAUGAUAAUGACGGUAUCGGGAGAAUAAGCUCCGGCUAACUCCGUG